GCAGAUGUGUCCGAGCUGGCCGAAGGAGCACGAUUGGAAAUCGUGUAAACGGCAACCACCGUUUCAAGAGUUCGAAUCUCUUCAUCUGCGCCA
rnacentral:tRNA from 2 species